CCCAAAUUGUAAAUAUAUAUAGGAAGAUUUCAUUUAUUUGAAAGUUAUAAUGUUGAAAUUAGUAAAGAUAAAGUGUUUUUUGUGAAUCAAUCAAUCCUAACUUUUGGAUGGAGUAAUAAUUUAUAGUCGGGAAACUAGUUUAUUAUGGUUGUCUACUAACACAAGUAAUAUGUUAUAUAUUAGAUAAGGGAAAGGAAUUCGGCAAAUAAGAACUUCGCCUGUUUACCAAAAACAUCGCUCUUUGUAAAGAGUCUAACAUAUAAAGAGUCCUGCCUGCCCGGUGACUUAGUUAAACGGCCGCGGUAUCUUGACCGUGCAAAGGUAGCAUAAUCAUUUGCCUUUUAAAUGGGGGCUGGUAUGAAUGGCAAGACGGGGGUUAAGCUGUCUCUCUCUUAUAAUCUUGAAUUUGAUAUUUUUGUGAAGAAGCAGGAAUAUAGUCGUAGGACGAGAAGACCCUAUCGAGCUUUAGUAAAAGAAGAUGCAAUUUGUUUAUGCUAUUUUACUGCUAAUUAAUUAUUAUAAAUGGUUGGUGGUUUUACUGUAAGAUAGUAGUAUUGUGUGUCUAAUACUUAGGUUGGGGCAACCGCGGAGAAAAAAAACCCUCCGUUAGUUUAUUGGUAAAAAGUUUUUUUCUUAUGUAAAAUUUUACGUAUAAAGUGAUCCACCUAUAAGGGUGAGCAAAAGAAUAAGUUACCGUAGGGAUAACAGCGUAAUUUUUUUGGAGAGUUCAUAUUGAUAAAAAAGUUUGCGACCUCGAUGUUGGAUCGGGAUUUCCUAG
rnacentral:rRNA from 1 species